rnacentral:rRNA from 1 species
CGGAUUGUAGUCUGCAACUCGACUACAUGAAGCUGGAAUCGCUAGUAAUCGCGAAUCAGAAUGUCGCGGUGAAUACGUUCCCGGGUCUUGUACACACCGCCCGUCACACCAUGGGAGUUGGGAAUGCCCGAAGCCGGUGACCUAACCGAAAGGGAGGAGCCGUCGAAGGCAGGCUUGAUAACUGGGGUGAAGUCGUAACAAGGUACC